CAGUCGCCACGGUAAUACGAAGGGGGCUAGCGUUGUUCGGAUUUACUGGGCGUAAAGGGCGCGUAGGCGGACUGAUAAGUCAGGGGUGAAAUCCCAAGGCUCAACCUUGGAACUGCCUUUGAUACUGUUUGUCUUGAGUUCGAGAGAGGUAAGUGGAACUGCGAGUGUAGAGGUGAAAUUCGUAGAUAUUCGCAAGAACACCAGUGGCGAAGGCGGCUUACUGGCUCGAAACUGACGCUGAGGCGCGAAAGCGUGGGGAGCAAACAGGAUUAGAUACCCCAGUAGUCCCUGUCUCUUAUAC
rnacentral:rRNA from 1 species